UUCCCGGGUCUUGUACACACCGCCCGUCACACCACGAGAGUUUACAACACCCGAAGUCAGUGGCCUAACCGCAAGGAGGGAGCUGCCUAAGGUGGGGUAGAUGAUUGGGGUGAAGUCGUAACAAGGUAUCCCUACCGGAAGGUGGGGAUGGAUCACCUCCUUUCUAUGGAGA
rnacentral:rRNA from 1 species